AUGGACAAGGUUCUACUCUCCAUCCACAUAGUGAUAUUUGGUGCACUUCUCUUGUUCACCAUAGGCAAGAGCUUUGUACAGCCAUCUUCUCACAUACAUCCAAACCAUACGGUCACAAGCUGUACCGCUAGUGAGAGGUCCGCGCUUCUCGGCUUCAAAGCAGGCCUCUCCGACCCUGCAUACCUCCUUUCAUCAUGGAAGGGUGAUGAGUGUUGCAAAUGGAAGGGCGUCCACUGCAGCACCAGAAACAGCCAUGUCGUCAAGCUCGAUCUCCAGGGCCAUGGUUGUGACCCCAACAGCGAUGCGUGGACGCAAGUGCUAGGAGGCAACAUCAGCUCCUCUUUGCUUGGUCUACGACAUCUACAGUAUCUUGAUCUUAGCUGCAAUGGGUUCUAUGGGGUGCAAGUGCCGGAGUUCUUGGGCUCUCUCCACAAGUUGAGAUACAUCGACCUAUCGAGUUUAAGCUUCAUAGGAAGGAUACCACCGCAGCUGGGUAAUCUCUCCAACUUACAAUACUUAAAUGUCAACUCGGAAUAUUUCAAUGGCACAUACUCUAUGGAUAUCACCUGGUUGUCACAGUUAACUUCCCUUGUGCACCUGGACCUGAGCGGCACGAACCUCAGUGCAAUUGUUCACUGGCUUCCGGUGGUGAACAUGCUUCCAUCUCUAAAGGUUCUUCAUCUUAUCAAUUGCAAUCUUAGAACUAGCUCUGCUUCACUUCAGCUUUCAAAUCUGACUUUUCUCGAAACCCUAGACCUUUCCGCCAAUGGCUUCCAUACACAUAUCGCACGCAACUGGUUUUGGGAUUUGACUAGCCUCAAGUAUCUAUAUAUCUCAUCGAAUGGUUUCUAUGGCCAAUUUCCGGACGAGAUUGGUAAUAUGACUUCCAUAGUAAAGUUUGAUUUAUCAUCGAAUAACCUAGUUGGCAUGAUACCAUCAAACCUGAAGAACAUAUGUAGCUUGGAAGAGUUCUUUGUACAUGAAACCAACAUCAAUGGAAGUAUAACAAAAUUCUUCCAGCGUUUGCCUAGUUGUUCAUGGAAUAAGUUGACAUACUUGUCUCUAGCUUCCAGCAACUUGACAGGGAGACUACCAACCAAACUAGAACCGUUAAACAAUUUGAUCUACCUUGAUAUCAGUCGUAACAAGCUCAUUGGUCCUAUGCCACUCUGGAUAGGAGAGCUCACAAAGAUAACUUACCUAGACCUGGGCUACAACAACUUGGAUGGUUUCAUACAUGAAGGUCAUUUAUCAGGACUAGAAAGCUUGGAGUGGUUGUGGCUCUCUGAUAAUUCCUUAACCCUGACAGUGAAUUCGACAUGGGUUCCUCCUUCAAGUCUAACAAAUAUUGAAAUUCGGUCAUGCCUUCUCGGGCCUAAAUUUCCACCGUGGCUUCGAUGGCUAACUAGUCUAGACAAUCUUGAUAUCUCAAACAUGAGCAUAUCUGACACGGUUCCAGAUUGGUUUUGGAUAACAGCUUCUACAUUGUACACUCUAAAAAUGGGACAUAACAAAAUUAGUGGUUCUCUUCCAUCUACAAUAGAAUUUAUGGGAGCAACCGCAAUUGAUCUUGGUUCUAACCAGUUCAAUGGCACAAUACCUAAGCUUCCCAUUAGUCUAAGUGACUUGGAUCUUAGUAGAAAUAAAUUAGAUGGACCACUACCAUUAGAUUUUGGAACGCCGAAUCUAAUGAAACUAGUUUUAUUUGAUAACUCCAUAUCUGGCACCAUUCCCUCUUCAUUUUGCAAAAUGAGAUCACUAAUACUAGUGGAUAUCUCCGGGAAUAAGCUAAAUGGACCAAUUCCUGAUUGCUCUACUAAUACAUCCACAACAAACAUGACCAGUAUGAGUAUUCUUAAUCUAAGCUUAAGAAACAACAAUCUCUCCGGUGAAUUUCCUUCAUUUCUCCAACACUGCCAAGAACUCGUCUUUCUUGAUCUUGCACACAACCAUUUCGUUGGAACUUUGCCAACAUGGAUUCAGGAGAAAUUGCCACAGUUGGCUUUCUUACGACUACGAUCAAACAUGUUCUGUGGUCACAUUCCAGAGGAGCUGACGAAGCUAGUCAAGCUUCAGUAUUUGGACCUUGCCUACAAUAAUAUAACUGGUAACAUACCAAAAUCUAUUGUUAACUGCAAAGGGAUGAUAGCAACAAGAGAUAAUUAUGAUGAUGGUGGUGAUGCAUUACAUCGUGCUUUUGGCUUCAAUGAUGAAUGGGAGCAUGGCCCUAAUGAAUUGGUCACCUAUACCGAGAAUUUCACGGUUGUCACAAAAGGUCAAGAGAGAUUAUAUACAGGAGAGGUCAUAUACAUGGUGAACCUUGAUUUAUCAUGUAAUAAUCUUAUUGGUGAUAUUCCCAAAGAUAUCAGCGCGCUUGUUGAAUUGAAGAGCCUGAACCUAUCAUGGAACAUCUUCAGUGGAAAAAUUCCGGAAAAUAUUGGCGCCUUGGCGCAAGUGGAGUCGCUGGACCUAUCGCACAAUAGGCUGUCUGGUGAAAUCCCUGCAAGCUUGUCGGCUCUUACAUCAUUAAGCCGCUUGAACCUGUCAUAUAACAACCUGACAGGAGAGGUGCCAUCAGGAGAUCAACUGCGGACACUUGAGGACCCAGAAUAUAUUUAUGUUGGCAACCCAGGCCUCUGCAGUCCACCUAUCUCGCGUAAAUGUCCGCAACCAGAGCCAAUUCCAUCUACUCCAGAACACCAUGGUGAUUUAAAUGACCUGGCAUCGUUUUUCAUCGCUAUGGGUUCUGGAUAUGUAAUGGGUAUCUGGGCGGUCUUCUGCACCUUCCUGUUCAAGAGAAAAUGGACAGUUUAUUGGUACUCGGUUUGCGACAGCUUGUAUGACCGGGUAUAUGUGCAAGUGGUUCUAACCUGGGCUUCCUGGACAAGAGAAAAAGGCGCAGAAGCUGAGACCACUCACUAG
rnacentral:rRNA from 1 species